GACGAACGCUGGCGGCGUGCCUAAUACAUGCAAGUAGAACGCUGAAGAGAGGAGCUUGCUCUUCUUGGAUGAGUUGCGAACGGGUGAGUAACGCGUAGGUAACCUGCCUGGUAGCGGGGGAUAACUAUUGGAAACGAUAGCUAAUACCGCAUAAAAUUGAUUAUUGCAUGAUAAUUAAUUGAAAGAUGCAAUUGCAUCACUACCAGAUGGACCUGCGUUGUAUUAGCUAGUUGGUGAGGUAACGGCUCACCAAGGCGACGAUACAUAGCCGACCUGAGAGGGUGAUCGGCCACACUGGGACUGAGACACGGCCCAGACUCCUACGGGAGGCAGCAGUAGGGAAUCUUCGGCAAUGGGGGGAACCCUGACCGAGCAACGCCGCGUGAGUGAAGAAGGUUUUCGGAUCGUAAAGCUCUGUUGUAAGAGAAGAACGGGUGUGAGAGUGGAAAGUUCACACU
rnacentral:rRNA from 1 species